rnacentral:rRNA from 1 species
UACGUAGGGGGCAAGCGUUGUCCGGAUUCAUUGGGCGUAAAGAGCGUGUAGGCGGCCAGGUAGGUCGGUUGUGAAAACUGGAGGCUCAACCUUCAGAGGUCGACCGAAACCAUCUGGCUAGAGUCCGGGAGAGGAGAGUGGAAUUCCUGGUGUAGCGGUGAAAUGCGCAGAUAUCGGGAGGAACACCAAUAGCGAAGGCAGCUCGCUGGGACGGUACUGACGCUAAGGCGCGAAAGCGUGGGGAGCGAACAGG